rfam:Myotis lucifugus cont2.33657, whole genome shotgun sequence.
CCCGGUUCUCAGGUGACACACCCCAGAAUUGGGCUCCCUCCUCUCUGGUUCCGGGUGUGUCACUCAAGAACCGCA